AUGCUGACGAGUGGCGAACGGGUGAGUAAUGCAUCGGAACGUACCCAGAAGUGGGGGAUAGCUCGGCGAAAGCCGGAUUAAUACCGCAUAUUCUCUUAGGAGGAAAGCAGGGGCUCGCAAGACCUUGCGCUUUUGGAGCGGCCGAUGUCGGAUUAGCUAGUUGGUGAGGUAAAAGCUCACCAAGGCGACGAUCCGUAGCUGGUCUGAGAGGACGACCAGCCACACUGGGACUGAGACACGGCCCAGACUCC
rnacentral:rRNA from 1 species